CUUUCACAGCUGAUUACUAAUU
rnacentral:miRNA from 1 species